CAGGAUCAUGAGGGAGUGGGCCAAGAAGGGGCUGUGGAAAAGCUGGUGAUGCUCUUUACUUCUGACUUGAAAAUCCUCGCUGCUCUGGAUGAGGAGGAGCCACGUGGCAGAGGGGUCUUUCAGCGUACAUUUUUUUCAAGUCUCACCCAGUUGUGGGGCGAAGGUGGAAAAUGAAUUGAUUUACUAUGUUCAUGAUGAUAGUGAGGAGCUUCUUGACAAUUUCACCAUCUUUGCAAAUAGCUCAGAUCUUGGAAAACAGAGUUUGCCCCAAACUCUUUUUGUGGUUGUUGAAUCAGUGAACGAUGAGGCUCCAGUAAUAACAGUCAGUAAAAUCCUUCAGGAAGAAUAGCCCUGAGCUAACAUCUGUGCCCAUCUUCCUCUGCUUUACAUGUGGGACGCCUACCACAGCAUGGCUUGUCAAUCCGUGCCAUGUCCACACCUGGGAUCCGAACCAGUGAACCCCAGGCCGCUGAAGUGGAACCUGCACACUUAACCGCUGCGCCACUGGUCCGGCCCAAGGAGAGAUCAUUUCCAUCUUGACAAACUGGAGUUAGGAAUUGGAGUUAGACCACUUCCAGUGAAUCCUUUGCAUUUUACUUUGAAAUAUGUUCUACUGAGUACUUUUGUGUUCGGGCAGACCAGUGAUUUUUGCGCAUACCUGAUAAAAUAUAUGUGUGUCCACAAGGGGGCUUCAUUUUCUUACUUUUCAACUUUUGCUUUCAAUAAUACUGUACGUUUUGUUUUGAUGGUGUUUUUUAUACCAAAAAUAGAAACACUUGCUUGUUUCUGAUAAACACUUGUCAUCAGUAAAAAGAGAGCUAGGGACAGUAGAAGAAUUAGGGGAGCACAGUCUGAAAUGAUGACUGACGGAGCAGAAGUUCGAAUAAUGGGGUAGUGAAUUCAUGAAUAUUUCACAUCCCUCCUAUGGAACUCAAAACGACGGUCUGGGUUUUUAGAUGGAUAAUAAUUAGGAUUAUACUGGACUAUAAUUAGGUUUAUAAAUCCCAUUAACCUGCUGUUUAAGUUAAAGGUGAAUUAAAAAUAUAUUAUCCCAAUUAAUGUGUUAAUUUUUUCAGAUAUUUAUUCCUUAAACCAUUAUUUCUUUGGUUUUGGAUUACUUUUAAUUCUGAAUUCAAGUUUGGGGGCCGUUGUUUUUCUUCUCCCCAUCUAUCUGAAGUUUCUAUUACCGAUGACUGGGAACCGGAUGAGGCCUCACCCAAACUAACGGGGCUGUUAAAUGAACUAAAUUUGGUUUGAGUGGCAAUGAAGACCUGAGCUUACCAGCUCUUGUUUUGAGUGGCGGGUUUUCCAUCUGUUUUGGAAGAUGGUAUUUUCCAGAGGCAAGAGGGGGCAAAAGCAGUGUUUCACAGAAGAGUAACUACAAUGGAAAACAUGUUUCAUCCAGCUUUUGUAUGCAUGGUGUUGGAAAAAAUUAGUAUCUGCCAGUCAUGGGAAGAGGAAUGGCGAUACAUUUCCAAAUCAGUCUGAGUUCUUGAAGAAAUGAGACUCAGAUACAUGGAUGGAUUUUAAAAUGUAAAAAGUGAAAAACUAGAAUGAGCGGGCUUGGAAUUUUGUGAAACAGUCUAAUUUGUGUAUUUUAUAGAAACUGUAGCUUUUCCGUGGAGUAACUGAAGGCCAAAAUUUUAUAAUUUAAACCUUAAGUUGAUUUGCAUUUCUGACAGAUAUUAAAAAAUUGGUGUACUUAGAGUUUAGGGCUGAAAAAUCCUGAGUGGGCAUAUUCAAAACGCCGAGAUAUAGGAGCAUCCACUGACAACACAGUGACUAAACAGAUAACUACUCACCACAAAUUGUGGAGGAAUGCCAUGGGAUUAAACAAAGUCUGCAGUACUCGUUACAGAAUGGCCCCU
ensembl:lncRNA